AGUUUAGGGCCCCUGAGGUCGCAAGUGAUUUUCCUGGCUUUGCCAUUUACUAGCUGAAACAAGAACAAUUUUUACUUUAAGAGUUAUAUAAGGUAAGUGCUUAGAAAGUAACUGACAUAGUAAAUCUGUUGCUAAGCAUCAUUAUAGAUAAAUACAAGGGUUAAGACAAUUUCAGGUAGUGGUAAGGAUGAGAAAAAAAAGUGAAAAAUUCAGAUGGUGAUAUGUACUAUGAAAUAAAUGUUAACAGGGCUGCAUUACAGAGGGAAAGUGAAGACUUGGUCAGGGAAAACUGCUCAGUAUUUAAGAUGAGAAUCUGAGAGGGCAAGCCAUGGGAUUGCCUUGAAGUUUUAAGCAAAUGAACACGUUACAAAGGUCCUGAGGUGGAAGUACCUUUUAAGUUAACAGUAACAGGGCUAUGGGUUUAGCAGAGAAAAUAAGCAAAGAAGAUGUGAUUGGAGAGGUAGAAAGGUGCAAAUCAGAUAAAGGAAGCUUGUUAGUAAGACUUUGUCUUAAUUGUAUUAUUUAUAUUUAAAUAUAUCUG